rnacentral:rRNA from 1 species
AUUGAACGCUGGCGGCAGGCCUAACACAUGCAAGUCGAGCGGAUGAAGGGAGCUUGCUCCUGGAUUCAGCGGCGGACGGGUGAGUAAUGCCUAGGAAUCUGCCUGGUAGUGGGGGAUAACGUCCGGAAACGGGCGCUAAUACCGCAUACGUCCUGAGGGAGAAAGUGGGGGAUCUUCGGACCUCACGCUAUCAGAUGAGCCUAGGUCGGAUUAGCUAGUUGGUGGGGUAAAGGCCUACCAAGGCGACGAUCCGUAACUGGUCUGAGAGGAUGAUCAGUCACACUGGAACUUAGACACGGUCCAGGCUCCUACGGGAGGCAGCAGUGGGGAAUAUUGGACAAUGGGCGAAAGCCUGAUCCAGCCAUGCCGCGUGUGUGAAGAAGGUCUUCGGAUUGUAAAGCACUUUAAGUUGGGAGGAAGGGCAGUAAGUUAAUACCUUGCUGUUUUGACGUUACCAACAGAAUAAGCACCGGCUAACUUCGUG